rnacentral:rRNA from 1 species
UCGGACGGGUGAGUAACGCGUGAGAAUUUGGCUUCAGGUCGGGGACAACAGUUGGAAACGACUGCUAAUACCGGAUAUGCCGGAAGGUGAAAGGCUUGCUGCCUGAAGAUAAGCUCGCGUCUGAUUAGCUAGUAGGAGGGGUAAAAGCCCACCUAGGCGACGAUCAGUAGCUGGUCUGAGAGGAUGAUCAGCCACACUGGGACUGAGACACGGCCCAGACUCCUACGGGAGGCAGCAGUGGGGAAUUUUCCGCAAUGGGCGAAAGCCUGACGGAGCAAUACCGCGUGAGGGAGGAAGGCUCUUGGGUCGUAAACCUCUUUUCUCAAGGAAGAAGAAAGUGACGGUACUUGAGGAAUAAGCAUCGGCUAACUCCGUGCCAGCAGCCGCGGUAAUACGGAGGAUGCAAGCGUUAUCCGGAAUGAUUGGGCGUAAAGGGUCUGUAGGUGGUACUGAAAGUCUGCUGUUAAAGAAUCACGCUCAACGUGAUCAAAGCAGUGGAAACUACAGAACUAGAGUGCGGUAGGGGCAAAAGGAAUUCCUGGUGUAGCGGUGAAAUGCGUAGAUAUCAGGAAGAACACCGGUGGCGAAAGCGUUUGCUAGACCGCAACUGACACUGAG